GUUUUGUGCUUUGUCGAUUAUUCUCUUCCAGAUCUCGACCUCGCCGUUUCCAUUUUUUCCCUCUUCUCUUCUCUUUAACUCCCCUGUCGUUCAAUGUAUCUCUUUGAACAAUAUCGACCUCUCCAUUUCCUUCAUAUCAAAAUAUAUAAAUAGGAGAAGAUGGGCUAUAGAAGCAUCGUCUCUUCUGGACAGAGAUCAUUGAAGCCUUGAAAACCAGCUCGAUUCGUCUUCCAAUUAUCGGAAAGUUGUGACGUAACUCAGAUCAUUAUCAUAGUUGGUGCUAAUAUGAGAGGGUGGUCUGAGAAGAUGAGUGGUGAUGAGCUUGAGAUCGUGAGGAAUCCUGGGGUUGUGCUUGCUUCAAAGAGAGAUACCAGACUCAAUCAACAUUCAAGUUGCUAAGGUUGGUGGUGGAAGUGUUGCAGGCACAUCCAGAAGCUCGAGCAUAUCGAGUCAAAACUAUUCCAAUUUACCCAAAUCUUUGCUUCACUUUUGGUAAGGAAGUGUCUGAUGAGAGAUACACACGCUUGGCUCAAGCUUUUGAUCCCACUCCUGCAGAAACUCUGCGCAUAAACGAGAGUGAAGCGAAGAUGGAUUCAAGGAUACUUUUCAGAUGGUGCAAGCCGGCGAAGAGAAAGAUGAUUACCUCUGUAGCAGUAGUAGUCCUCCUUGUGUAGAAUGGACACCUGUCAUGGACCGGUGUCUUAUUGAUCUCAUGCUUGAGCAGGUCAAUAGAGGAAACGUAAUGCAAAAAUAUCAAGAUUUGAAUAUAUAGUAAUUUAGGUACUUUAAAUCUGGAUUUUUUCUUUUCUAGCGAGUGAAGAAAUUAUGUUUUGGUUUUCUUUUUGCAGUAUGUGGAAGUUUAUGUGUACGUAUGGGAUGAUGACAUAACAUCACCAAGUGCUGUAUUCUCAGCUUCUUUUCAUUCCA